CCGGUACACAGCCCAUACAGGUGCUGAAGUUCUCCCCCGACGGGCAGUACCUGGCGGUGGGGUCGCGUGACGGGAGCAUCUACGUCUACCAGGUCAUGGACGAUCUCACGCGCUUCGCCAGGCUCGGCAAGUGUCAGGGCCACAGCAGUGCUGUGCUGCACCUUGACUGGUCAGUGGACAGUCAAUACCUGCAGUCAAACUCUACGGACUACGACCUCCU